UACUGUUCUGGUUUCGGCCUCCACGCUGU
rnacentral:sRNA from 1 species